rnacentral:rRNA from 1 species
GACGAACGCUGGCGGCGUGCUUAACACAUGCAAGUCGAACGGAAAGGCCCUGCUUGCAGGGUACUCGAGUGGCGAACGGGUGAGUAACACGUGGGUGAUCUGCCCUGCACUUCGGGAUAAGCUUGGGAAACUGGGUCUAAUACCGGAUAGGAACCAUCUUUAGUGUGGUGGUUGGAAAGUUUUUUCGGUGUAGGAUGAGCUCGCGGCCUAUCAGCUUGUUUGUGGGGUAAUGGCGUACCAGGGCGGCGACGGGUAGCCGGCCUGAGAGUGUGUAAGGACAGAUGGGGACGGAGAUACGGCCCGGAGUCCGACAGGAGGCAGCAGGGGGGAAUAUUGGACAAUGGGCGCAAGCCUGAGGCAGCGAGGCCGCGUGGUGGAUGAAGGCUUUCGUGGUGUAAACUCCUUUCGCUAGGGACGAAGCGUUGUUGUGACGGUACCUAGAGAAGAAGCACCGGCUAACUACGUG